AUCCGACAGGACAACAAUUUCCAUGUGUAUUUAACUGCGCACAAAUAGUGACUCGAUGCGUCAAAUGUUUACCAAACCUCUUUGAAUCCGGCAAUCUUUUAUUUAUUUAUCAAAAAAGGAUCGAACCUGUCAUUCAUUGGUGGGAUCGGCAUAACCUUUGUAACCAUUGAUACGAGAUUUCAUUGCCUGUCAAACAGGCACUUCAGUUGGUGUCAUAUUAAAGCAUUUCACUCUUUUUGUGUCAUUUUUUCUAACUCAAGAUUCAUUUUCCUUCCCUUUUUUACCGGUUUUUCUAAAAGACAAGACUUAUUCAUAAGGACGUUGAAAGAUGAUGUUAAGCUUAAAGCUUCUGGUGGUCACGUGCCUGUUCAUGAGGUUGUCGUCCGCCACUCCCCUUCCGCAUGGUGUGAACAUCGAUGACGAUUCUUUCAGGAGCAACAUGUGUGGAUUCCUCUGCACCAAGAGUCCACCAGAAGGAGGGUCAUUUUGCAACUGCGACAGACAUCCGCUGGGAAAGAGAUCCGUCAAUGAUAAUCCUUUUUAAACACACUGUGCUGGAAGAGUCGCAGUUUUCAGUGGGAAUGUUUCCUUCCUGACUAUUCUUCCACUAAGGAUUGGCAUUAAGGUGGAAG